GUCUCAAUAGCGCAGCAGGUAGCGCGUCGGUCUCAUAAUCCGAAGGUCGUGAGUUCGAACCUCACUUGAGACA
rnacentral:tRNA from 1 species